GGGGCUAUAGCUCAGCUGGGAGAGCGCUUGCAUGGCAUGCAAGAGGUCAGCUGUUCGAUCCCGCUUAGCUCCACCA
rnacentral:tRNA from 1 species